GAUGUUCUGCUGGAUGAGCUGCACGUCCACCUUCUGCAGAACAUUGCUGAUGUGCCCUGAGGGGUACAGCACCAAAAGCAGUGCAGCUCCAAGCCAUGAAGAUCCUCCUAUCAUGUAUGACAUGGAAAGCAAUGCAACCCCUUCUCCCGCUCAGCACGUUCCCCUCUCCAUUUACCUGUCAUCCUGGAAGCAGUGCGCGGCUGAGACCACCCAGCGAUCAGCAACAAGUGUUCCCCCGCAGAUGUGGCGCCCCCGAACUUGCAGGCUGGCCUGCCACGGCCAUUCCCCUUCCACGGAAUUCUCACCCCCCACGAUCCUGCUGAGAGGGGCCUGCAGCCCACAGUCUGAGGAAGAGGAGACGCAGCAGGUACUUCAGGGGAGGAAGGGAACAUGAUGCAUUGUGCCUGCCCUUCCUUUCCUACUUAAAUCCUGCUUAUUUGACCUCUAAUCGCUUGCCUUGCCCAGCAAGAAAAUGCUUUAUGUACUGUGCAGGACAGGUCUAGGAAGCACUCUGCCCAGCAUGUGCCACCAUUGAUGCCUGCACAGCCUCAGCCUGGGAUGUCUUUGGGGCAGCAGCCUGCCUGCGCUACCUGCUGUGCUGCUGGGGAACCCUCACAGUCAUUCCUCUUCACCUCCCACCAAAGCUCUGGAUAAAACAAGCAGGGAAAUGAAAACAUAAGCUCCCUUCCUGCCAGUGACCAUGCAGUCAUGGGUGAUUUCCCUGGCUGGAGCCUUGUAGGAUGGCAUUACUUCACAUAAGCCAGCAUCGUGGUCCAGCAGGCAGCCUGUGGGUAGGACCCGGCAUGUGAGACGUGUCUAUCUGGCCUGAUGCCUCUGUCUGAAGGAGAUGGGGAGCAGCCAUCCAAAGAGAAAAAUGCCUGCUCACAGCUCAGCACAGAGCUGACUCCUUGCUCCUUCCACUGCAGGAUGGAGCACUGGCACUGUUGCCACGGGGUUAGGGUAGGGAGAAGGUGGUGGAACAAGAGAGGGUGGGUGCUGAUGGUGGUGGGGAAAAGGGGGCUAUGUGGCAUCCCGAAACUGCCUGGCGCAUGUAUAACCGAGCAUUUCCUCACCACAGCUCUUCUCGUCGGACAGGUCCUUGCAGUCUGCAAUGGUGUCACACAGGGGGUUGGGUUUCUUCACACAGGUCCCAUCCUCACAGCGGUAGGUGAAAGGACCGCAGGGGACCCCUGCAAAGAGGAGGGGGAGCCGAGACUGAGCGAGAGAAGCUGGUUGCAGGCACAGCCUGCAGUCCUUUAAGUGGGAGGAAAAAGGCAAUGGAGAGCUUGGGGGAACUCCAUAAACGAUGACAGGGAAUUUCCUGAGCAAGCUUGGUCAGCUACGAACAGAGCAAACAUCAUGAGCAGGUUGGGCAUGUUAACCCCCAGCUGGUGCCUUUACCUCACAAGAGGGAAGUACACUACCGACAGCCUUGGCUUGAGCAUAGGGGAAGGUAUUUGUCCCCUCCCUACCUUCACUGCACUGCUCCUCAUCGCUCCCGUUGGCACAGUCCAGAUGCUGAUUGCAGACCCUGCUGAAGUUGAUGCAAGUGCUAUCUUCACGGCACUGGAACUUUGCAGGGCACACUGCAAGGGAAGGGAGGGAAGCACCCGGGAAUUAGCCAUGCAAGACAAGACAUCAUGUGUGAGGUCAGGGUCCUACAUCCACCAGUAGGCUCUGCAACCUCUUUCCCCACCUCAUGCAUAGGUGUGAUUAAGACCAGCUCUGGUAUAGUGCAGCUGUGUGGUCUUUGCCUGACAUAUGUUGUAGGUAUGUCUGUACCCUGUCUUACACUUUGCUGGUGCUGACUUUCCUUGAGUUCUUGGCUUGUCCUCAGACCUGCCUCAUCACUAUGGACUUGCCUGGAGGUCACUGGACUCUCGGUUGUUCUCAGGUGACCAUCACCAGACCUGGUCCACCUGCCUUGUUCAGGUUCUGUAUGACUGCAUCCUGUGUGGUGAGCUAACUAUUCCUCCUGCCUUCCUGAACAACAAUGGGCUCCUCAAUGUCCAUGAGCUCCAACAGCUGCUCAGGAUGGAGAUGGGCUUAAGGUGCCCACCCAUCACAGAGUCUGACUUCUGGUUAUAGAUUUUCAUAGCAGGAACUUGCCCGGUGUUUGUAUGCAUCUCUGUUCAACACCAAACAUGAUGGGCCAGUAUCUCCAGGGCAUUUUCUUACUACAAUGACUAAAAUUUCUUCAGUAAUUAGCAUGAGGCUUCCUGAUGAUGAAAGGCGCGUGAAGGUCUGAGGCAAUGUGAAGACUGAUUUUAAAGACAGGGGUGUUUCCAUGCAGACAUAGAGUGAAUAAGCAGAGAUGCAACAGUGGCAAGAGUAUAAGAAAGGAAAGAAGUCAUGAUGUUCCCAUUUUCUUUUUCAAAUAUGAAAGGAUGUUCGAAAACACUGAGAAACAGAUACAUUUUUUGUUCAGUCUUGGUCUGAAUCUGGAACUAAAUGACACAAGAAAUGCCUGGGGCCAAGAUUCAAGAAAGGAUUAGAUAUUCAUAAGGAUGUAUAUGUAUUCGUGUCUGCAUGAGAGAAGCAAGAAAGCCCUGAUGUCAGACAGCUGGAUGAUGGGACAGAGCGCACUGUCAGCAAGACCAUAGACAGUAUAAAACCCAACCUCAGUGAUCCUGUGAGAGCUCUCACAUUUCCAGCACUGAAUGAAAACUUCUGUGAGAAAGAUUUCUCCUUCCUUUCACUUCAGACAUUUCUAUACCUUCCUCUGAAUCUUUCAUAAUUGGCCACUGCUUCCAGUGGUUCAGGGAUCUUUCUAUCUGUAAAAACCCCAGCUACAGGGGACAACUGGUGAACCUCCCACUUACAUCAGGGAUGGGAGAAUAGAUGAAUUAGGUGCCACGCAUGAGCCUGAAUAGCUGUUCCUAUGAGAAUGGGGCUUUGCAGGAGUCCUGGGAUGCCGGGGAUGGAGUCCGCAUCACUGCUAACUGCUGUUGGCAUGAAGAACUGAUGGGUGAUUGAGGAAUUAGAUGCUCUCAACCUGGGGCACAAUAUGUGGGUGGGGAUCUGGACAGAUCAAGUGGCUGGGGAGGAAAGGGGAGAGAGCAGGGCAGUGAGUGGGCUUGGGGAGAUGUGGGCAGGAUGGGAGGGCUGGGAGGGGGAUGCUGAGUGGUAUGACAGCAGAGGGGGCUGUAGGCCAGGACUGAGGUUGAUUGUCGGGGCUGGGAAGAGGGGGGGAGCAGGACAAGAUGGGGGACAGCCUCGGCUUCUUUCAGGCUGCUUGGAGCUCUUGGUGCACGGACACUAGGGAGUUCUCGCAGGCAGACUGUGCUGGACACAGGAGCAAGAAGCGUGGCUGCUCCUUCCUGAGCAGGCUGAAGCCAUAAAGCAGUGGGCUGAGGCUUUUAAGGAUGCAGAGGUUUAAGCUCUUGAAGGGGAGGUACAAGCCUGUAAUUAGGCCAAACGAAUCCUCUCCAUCUCUCCCUGCCUUUGGAGGAGCAAGGGGCUUUUUCCUGCUGAGAGCAGGGACCAUAGGGGAGAAGAAAUCACUCACCACAGUUUCUCUCAUCCAGCCCAUUGGGGCAGUCUUUGAUCCCGUCACAGGCUGGGACACACAAACCGUUCACGGAACACAGGAACUCCCCGGGACAAGCUGUGAAACCACCAGAGAGUAGUUAGUCCCCAGUGACUGGAAACCUCCUUGCAAAAGAGCACCGAGGCUCAAAAGUGGGGCUGCACACCCCCCUGACCUCACGUGUGCUGCAGCUUCCCAGAAUUCACCACAUCAUCUGCUCUGAACAAGGGCUAACAGAGCUAGGCUAUACAGCAGGAGAAGGAGGGCUCUGUCCCUGCUUCCUGGUGUACCAAUGGGCAGAGCCAGGACAACCACCCACCUGGCGUGCUGUACCUCUGAUGCCUGAAUGCUGCGGGAAAGCUGAAACAGGUCCUUUGGAGCUGUUAUUAAAACUUGGUUUGUAUUAGACAUGUUGCAGGUGCACAUAUUCAGGGACUGGUAUGUGUUACAGGCACCCUUCCGGAGGGAGAUGAAGAAACCUUGGAAAGACAGACUGCGGGUGUGCAUUUGCAUAUGUGUGUACGUGUAUUUGUGCGUGGUUUUAUUUUGUCUCUCACUUGCACAGAGUCCAAGGUGAGCAGGAAACAGCUCUCUGUAAGAGCUCUUAUAACUGAAAUAAAAGCUGCUUCAAAAUGGU